GAUGAACGCUAGCGGCAGGCUUAACACAUGCAAGUCGAGGGGCAGCAUGACACGGAGAUUCGUCGAAGUGUCGAUGGCGACCGGCGCAAGGGUGCGUAACGCGUGAGCAACUUGCCCGUUUCUGGGGGAAUAACCGUUGGAAACGACGACUAAUACCCCAUAGUAUCAUGAUGAGGCAUCUUAUUAUCCCCCCCCCCCCCCCCCCGAUUAAAGAAUUUCGGAAACGGAUAGGCUCGCGUGACAUUAGCUAGAUGGCGGGGUAACGGUCCACCAUGGCGACGAUGUCUAGGGGUUCUGAGAGGAAGGUCCCCCACACUGGAACUGAGACACGGACCAGACUCCUACGGGAGGCAGCAGUGAGGAAUAUUGGUCAAUGGGCGAGAGCCUGAACCAGCCAAGUCGCGUGAGGGAAGACGGUACUAAGUAUUGUAAACUUCUUUUANACGGGAAUAACACCAUCUACGUGUAGAUGCCUGCAUGUACCGUAUGAAUAAGCAUCGGCUAACUCCG
rnacentral:rRNA from 1 species